CCUUUGAGACUUGGCCUUUUUGUAAGACUGAAUCCAGCUUUCCCGCAUUGCUCCAUCCCAGCUGAGUCAUGAAGAUCCUCCAAUUGUGCCUGGCAGUUCUCUCUUUGCUGCUCCUGUCUUCCUCAGGAUCUGCCCAGCUAUCACCAGUUAAUGGUCAUCAAUGCAGAGCCUCCGGUGGUCGUUGCAGAUUUAGAAAGUGUCGCUCACCCAACAUUGAGUUUGGGAAAUGUGGAUGGCUGAGGAGAUGUUGCAUAAGAUAUCUCAGGAAGGAAUGAUUGCUGCCUGCUUACACAGGAUCCUUUGAAAAAUGGGAGAUGUUCCCUCACCUUGAGAGCCACUGGAUCCUGCUUAAUCCCUUGCUGAAGUCGCCUUCUGCUUAUUCCCCAAAGCAUCCAAAUAAAAAUUAAUAAAUGAAGACUUCAGAAAAAUUCCAUCAAUUGUAUGAGCUUGUUCCUUGCAAUAAAAACAAAAUAAAACA